AUAAUCAAUCACAAUAUAUAUAAGAGAGAACAAUAAUCAAUCACAAUAUAUAAAAUGGCUUCAUGCUUUGAGUUCUUCCUUUCACUCAAGUUUGGCAAAAGGGCAAAGGGUUUCCUUUGGAGGACUACCAAGGCUCAAGCUCAGCCUCAGCUGCUUAAGGCACCAAAAUCAUCGGUUCCAGUUGAAGAACGAGACCUUCCAUGGGAUCUACCAGGACAUAAUUUUUAAAACAAAUUACGUUCAUCAUGAUCAGUGUCUCUCUCAUGAUAAAAGAAGUGUCAAAUAAAAAUAGAGAAAGACUCAUAGAAUAUAUGACAUAUUAAUGAGUUUUUAUCUUUUUUAUUGAACACUUUCACUUAUGUAUUACAUCAUAAUUCACCACUAUGUUCAGUCUUUUUAGAUGUAUUAUACUAAUCCAACACUUGGUUUUCUUUUCUUGGUUAAGUUUAGUUCUAUGUUGAAGAAACUUUUCAGGUCAUUGAUAUUUCAGUGAAGUUGUUGUUGUUGUCUUUUAUUUGGUGAAGUUGUAAUAAUUUCUUUAGUCAGUUAGUAUAUGAAAGUGUUUUGGUAAUUUCUUGAACA